UGAACAACCCAUGUACAGAUAGGGAAACUGAGGCAGAGAUUGUGUAGCCACUCACAGCCGGCUGGUGGGUUGCAGAGUGAGGAUCUGAACAUGAGCAAGUUGGGCCCUGGAGCACCACGUCUCUCCCUGUGAGGUACCGCCACCUUUCCAGAACCUUCCCUGUGUCCUCCAGGGAGUUCUGGGCUGAGUGCAGUUACUCCUGCAGUCCACUGGCCACUGUUCUCUUCCCUGGCAAGUCUUAGAGUUUAGGGAGUGGAGGGGGCUUGGCAGUUUUGCUAGAUUAUAUGCUUAAGCAAUGAAACCUUUAUAACAGUUGUAAAGAAUUUGCUUUGCAAGCCAUCAGACCUUCAGUCAAAUUUAAUGAGCUAUGGAAGCUGCUUGCUGGAGUUUGGAGAACACAGGGUGAAAUGUCAAAAGAACGGGGCUAGGUCUCAACCCCCCACAGCCAGCCCACACUUCCAUGGAAGCCUCUCUACCUAAGAUGAGGUCAGGUGGGGACUUGGCCCAUCUCCCCGCUGGGGUGUGGGAUGAUCCCUGAGAUAAUCCCAGGACUGGGCUUAGAAAGAGCUGCUGUGGCAAAUACAAGUCACUGUGAAUGGCAGCCUCCGACCAAACUCACUUAGAGAACCCUCCUGGGGGCUUGGGUCACACUGUGUUGGGCGUGGGUCACACAUCAUCAAGUUCCACCAAAAUUAUCAACCCAUUGCUAUGUUUCCUGUAUUCAGAUUUUAUUCAGCCAGUUGUGUCUUUCAGGAUAAAUAUGAUAUGAGGUGCUUUUUGUUUCAUUUGAAGUUAUUCCCCGUUUAGGUCACUGGCAUUUGUUAUUAGUGGUGCUGUCAUCCAUACAUAAGAUCGUGUUGUGUCUAAACCCAACAGUGACGUGAUGCUCAGUAGCCGAGGCCACUUCGUUAGCAUCUGACAUCAGUGAAUUAGCCAUCCCGAUGCAUGACCACAAUUCCGUGACACACACAUCACUCCCGGCGAGACUCAUCCCACCAAAUUGGUAGAAAGUCCCAUUUUGCUGAUAAAACGGUAACAGGUUUGAGUACCUGAAAGAGCACAUAGAUUGAAAACAAAAAGGGAAAGCAGAACUCAUUUGGAGUCCUAAAUGCGACCCAUCCAUUCCAGGUGCUUAUGUUCUGAGUCUUCUGGGAGAGAAACAGCUAGUUCAAGUAAAACGUCAGAGCAGUGAGUCACCAACGACCUUCAUCCGAUCCUUUCAUUACCUGCAUUUACAGCGUGGAAGGACGGGACCCGAAGAAGCAGCCAAACAGCCACCCUGCUGGUGGGAUCCCUGAGGACCCCCAGUUAACCCGCCGAGUGGACUUUGCAGUGUGUGCUCAGUGGGUGGGGCAUGGAGGUGGCUCACGCUGCCUCAGCCUACCAUGAAGGGUUCUGGAAGAGUGGGUGAACUGGACUUUGACGAGCCUGUAGAAUGCCAUGCAGGAUGGAGCAGUGACAAAGACAGCAGAAAACACGCGCAGGGACAGCCAAGAUGCAGCAGGUGUGACCGGGGAGGUGGGUGUGGGGAAUGGCUGCAUUCCAGAUGAACAACAGAAAACAAAGCCAUGACUUUGGCGGGGUCUCACAGUGGAGGAUUCAGAGGACAGUCUGAUUGCAACACAUGUUGGUGUUUCUUGGUUACCUGGAGGCCAAUAAAAGAACAGAAAUUCUGGGCCGGGUGCGGAGGCUCACGUCUGUAAUCCCAGGACUAUGGGAGGCUGAGGCAGGCGGAUCACCUGAGGUCAGGAAUUUGAGACCAGCCUGACCAACACGGAGAAACCCCAUCUCUACUAAAAAUACAAACAAUUAGCCUGGCAUGGUGGCGCAUGCCUGUAAUCCCAGCUAUUCAGGAGGCUGAGGCAGGAGAAUCACUGGAACCCGGGAGGCAGAGGUUGUGGUGAGCCGAGAUCUCACCACUGCAUUCCAGCCUGGGUGACAGAGUGAGACUCCAUCUCAAAAAAAAAAAACAAACACACACUCUCAACAGCAGUGCUUGGAGGUCAUGUAAAGUCAAGGUCCGUGUUUUCCCAACUGGGCUCUAAGGGAUUUAGGGGGAUUCCACUCACCCCUCACAGAGGAGAGAGAAAGGCUGUAGGAGACGGGCUCUAAGCCCUCCUCACCCAUGGCAUCUCUGAUUUGACCUGUUGUACAUUUCCGGCUUCCAUAUUGGAUGUUUGUGGUAUAAGGAAUUUCACAGCUGGAACAUGUUGAAAAUCCACACAGCACAACCAAGUUGUGCUGAAGAGUUGAGAACCAGAGACGGCAAAGACACCAUUUUCCCAAGCUAAGGCUCUCACACACACAGCCACAACCUCCUCACUUCACCCCAGCCACCAACGGCAGUGACGGGAACACCGAAGGGAUGACCACAAAAAUGCCCCUUGGUUCAGGAAUCUGAAUUUGUAGGAAAGCCUGACUCUUAUCUGGCAAAGAAAAAAAGGGACAGUGGUUUUCCUGAAGGUGACGAGAAACACACAGUGUAAAUCCCAUGUCCUGGGACGAAAGGUAUUUACGCAAAUCUGCCUGGGUCUCUGUUGCCAGGGAUACUACUCACUGGGCACCCGACUGGCCCCAUCAUGAAGCUUCUGACAGCAGGAAAACACCAGUCAGCCCUGUAACGAUCAGCCACAAAGUCAUCCACCAGGGCGAUUCAGGUCAUCCACCCCACCUCAAUUGUGUUUGUUAGGGACAAAUAUUUAGAAGUUUCAUGUUUGUGGGAUUAUCUCAAUGUCUUUGCAGUCUGGAGGGUGUCUUUACAGAGCUGAAUGAGUCAAGUGCCUAUUCUGAUGCCAUAGAAUCAUAUAAUUAAAAAGGUCCUUAAAAGAUGACGUCACUCCAGCUCAAUGGGUUGGGGGAUCUCCUCUGGGAGAAAUGUUUUGGAUCUAGACAGAGGGGCAUUACACAACAUUGUCAAUGUAGUAAAUGCCACUAAAUUUGCACCUGAAAAUGGUUAAUUUUUUGUUGUGUGAAUUUCAUCUCAAUUUUUAAAAAAGAUUAUAUCGUUCAGUCUUUUAUUUUGAAGAUGUGGGAACAAGUAGUGGGAGGAUGGUAUCCAAAGCCCACUCAGGGUGCAGGCAGGUCCCUAACACACCGAUCACCCUGCCCAGACUUCAACCUAAUCAUUCCCGCUUCGCUACAUGGCCUGUGCUGUCGUAAGGCAGUGAGCUCAGGGCUGAAUGUACCCAGCAGAGAAAAUUCAUAUCCUCAAAAACUCUCUCCCCAGAAGUUUUGUGAUUUUGUUUGUUCAUGUAUUUUUUCCCACAAUAAGGAAAUAAAAAUGUAUCUAGACUUACA
rnacentral:lncRNA from 1 species